rnacentral:rRNA from 1 species
AGCGAACGCUGGCGGCAGGCUUAACACAUGCAAGUCGAGCGCCCCGCAAGGGGAGCGGCAGACGGGUGAGUAACACGUGGGAACGUGCCUUUUGGUUCGGAACAACCCAGGGAAACUUGGGCUAAUACCGGAUAAGCCCUUACGGGGAAAGAUUUAUCGCCAAAAGAUCGGCCCGCGUCUGGUUAGCUAGUUGGUGGGGUAAUGUCCCACCAAGGCUACGAUCAGUAGCUGGUCUGAGAGGAUGAUCAGCCACAUUGGGACUGAGACACGGCCCAAACUCCUACGGGAGGCAGCAGUGGGGAAUAUUGGACAAUGGGGGCAACCCUGAUCCAGCCAUGCCGCGUGAGUGAUGAAGGCCUUAGGGUUGUAAAGCUCUUUUAGCAGGGAAGAUAAUGACGGUACCUGCAGAAAAAGCCCCGGCUAACUUCGUGCCAGCAGCCGCGGUAACAC